rnacentral:lncRNA from 1 species
CAAGACAUUUCCCUGAAAACAUGUUUUUUUAUUUAAGAAGUAGAGGUCAGAUAAAAGCUUAUAUAAGCUGCUCUUUGUUACUUUCAGAAAACAGUUUCAUAAGGUUAAAAAUGGCUUCCAAAUUUAAGUUUUCUGUACCUCACUUUAUUUGAACAAUGGGAAUUAAGAAUCUAUUUCAAAAGUAAAUUAAUUUAAUUCCCAAGUGAAAACAACGUGCAGAAAAGAUUUUAAAUCUGGACUCUGCAUCCAGGAAUUGGUUCAGGUUCUUUUUCAUCUACUGUCACUCUUGUAUUACACUGAGGUUGUUCUUAUACCAAGUGAUACAAGCACAUCUAAUAUCUGUAAUUAACAUGUUGAGAUUCCUAUGAAAACUUUUUAUAAGGGCAGAAAAAGGAGGUUAUUAUCACUCUGCUGCAAUUUUGUUCUGAGCACCAGAUGUACUUCCCCAUCUCCUGCUCUCCCCUCUACAAAAAGAUUUUAAUCCUCUAUUUAAUUUCAAAACUGGUAUAAGCCAAACCAUUUAGGUCAUCAACCUCACACUGAAAAUGUCUUGAUACCUCUGAUACGUUUUUUCAACUUUUAGAUUAAUGAAUAGUUUUUUUCCCACCAAAUGAAAGCAAUCAAGUAGUUAAUCCUUUCAUGUGCAAUUAGCAGCUCUGACCUCCCUGUUCUUUAAAAUGAGGGUCACUGGGAGGUAAAGGCCAGUUCUGGGCCUUUCCUUUCAUAUCAGAAUACCCCUUCACUAACUAUCUCUUCUCUUUCCAAAAACAUCAGAGAGCAAGGGGGAAAAAAACAGGCUUCUACUUCCAUUAGCAGUAACUUAAACAGCCAUAAGUUAAAGGGGGAGGAAAAGGAAGAGCAUCUCUAUCUAUCUCCCUUCACAACAGAAGACAUCUGGCCUCCUGUGGGGAGGCCCCAGAUAACAAAGAACCUGUCAUUACAAACCUCUGAGAUGUGUUCAGAAAGCCAUUUUACCUGCAGUCUGGCUCAUUCAUUUCCUGCCACUGAAGCCAUCUGCUUUUGCUUAUUGUGGGUAUUAUUGUUCUUUGUUUGGCCAGGAGUGUGAAGUGGCUUCACUUUAGCAUGCCUGUAUGCUUGGUCAGAGGAAAGAUUUAAUCCUUUUCUCAAAAUGAGUAAGAAGGAGCUGCAAAAAACAGUUCCUUUCCUGGAAGGUAGCACGAAGUCAUCCAAGCUUAGGUUGAAUAAAAGGUCAUGUCAGUGGAUGGGGUAAAGAUAUAUUGAGAUUGAAAAGAGAUGACAACUUUGAAUCUACAGCAGAAACCUUCCAAGGUACUUGUAAUCCUACCUGAUUUAAGCUCUUUGCCACUGCUUCUGGCAAUUUUUUUUUCAGCUCAAGUCUCUCUGGUUUUUAAGUUUCACUUUGGCUUCUGCAGCCCCAGAUGUAUAAUAAUCCAUUUGUACUCUCCUUUUACAUUGAGUUUCAGUAUUUUCACUCUGUUUUUUUUUUUGUCUCAAUGGUUUGCUUCAAAAAUUAUGUCUCUUAGCAAAUGAAGAUCUUAACAUACUUAUAUAAAACAGAAGUUGAUGCGAAAAUCCAGUCCACCUACCUCUGAUAAAUUUUCCAUCACUCUCAGGUACCAUUGACUUCUGUGUCUGAAAGGGCUGUGUGCCGGCAGAGAUCGUACAGAUUGUUUUGCAGCAAAAUGGUGAACACGGCAAGGAUCACAUAUUACUGCCAUGGUUAACAGCUUCUGAAGAUAAAUUGGAUGCUGUAGAAUUUUGAAAGUAACACAUUCACCUUUAAAAACACCCAUGGCCGUGUGGUUUCUUCACCACUACCUGCCGGAGGAAAAAAAUGGAAUAUUCCUUAAGCCUCACAGCAAGAGGUGGAAACUGCUUCUCCAGCGCAAACCGACUUUGUAUUUUCACCUCACUGAAAAUGGAAGUCUUUGUCUCACUGUGCAGCAUCUUUUCUGCAGAGGAAUACUACUCUGAGUUACAGCUGAAGUUUUCUCAAGCUGAAACUACAGACUUCAUUUCAAAUGUUGCUAAUGCUAAAUAAAAAGACUGUAUUUCAAAAACAUAAAAAAUAUUUUAAGCUUCAUUUUUGUGACUAAAUUAUUUGCCAAACACAGCAUGAAUCCUGGCUGACCUGAAGCUAUGUUUUCCAGUGAUCGCAGUGCAACUGAAACAUUCUAGCUUUUUCUGUUUACAGACUUUCGGACAAAAGCAGUGCUGUGGUCUAUUAUUAUUAUUUACAGCAGAGAAGCAAGCUUCAAUUUUCAGAAACUUCAUGUAAAGCACCUCAGUCUACAUAUUCAAGCAGAAGUAUUGCGAUACUUCCUCUCAAUCUUAUAAAAGUCUAUUUACAG